UAAAGCGGCGUACGGGUGAGUAACACGUGGAUCAUCUACCUUUUAGUGGGGAAUAACCCUGGGAAACCGGGGAUAAUACCGCAUAAGCCUGAAAAGGGAAAGCAGCAAUGCGCUGGAAGAGGAGUCCGCGGCCGAUUAGCUAGUUGGUGAGGUAAUGGCUCACCAAGGCGACGAUCGGUAGCCGGCCUGAGAGGGCACACGGCCACACUGGCACUGAAAUACGGGCCAG
rnacentral:rRNA from 1 species